rnacentral:rRNA from 1 species
UACGUAGGGGGCAAGCGUUGUCCGGAAUUAUUGAGCGUAAAGCGCGUGUAGGCGGCCAGAUAAGUCCGCUGUGAAAUCUCGAGGCUCAACUUCGAGCUGUCGGUGGAAACUGUCUGGCUAGAGUCCGGAAGAGGAGAAUGGAAUUCCUGGUGUAGCGGUGAAAUGCGCAGAUAUCAGGAAGAACACCCGUGGCGAAGGCGGUUCUCUGGGACGGUACUGACGCUGAGACGCGAAAGCGUGGGGAGCGAACAGG